rnacentral:rRNA from 1 species
AAGGUGGCUUUUGGGCUGUCGCAGAUGGAUGAGCCUGCGUUGGAUUAGCUAGUUGGUGGGGUAAGGGCCUACCAAGGCUACGAUCCAUAGCUGAUUUGAGAGGAUGAUCAGCCACAUUGGGUGAGACACGGCCCAAACUCUUACUGGAGGCAGCAGUGAGGAAUAUUGGACAAUGGGGGCAACCCUGAUCCAGCAAUGCCAUGUGUGUGAAGAAGGCCUUAGGGUUGUAAAGCACUUUAGUUGGGGAAGAAAGCUUUGAGGAUAAUAGCCUUGAGGAAGGACGUUACCCAAAGAAUAAGCACCGGCUAACUCCGUGCCAGCAGCCGCGGUAAUACGGGGGGUGCAAGCGUUAAUCG